CAAUAUUUCUUCGUUGGGAACACUGGGUAGUUGGUAUUGUCGCAUAACAAUAUGGCGACGAUGAAUAUGGUCAAUUCUCUUCAACUUUAGCGUUUCAUGCUGUCAAAGUUAACCAACAAAACCCAUAUGCGUAGCAUAAGGUUUCCAAAAGAUGAAAGCAGGAGAGCGGCAUGUAUUCAUUUUAUAAAUGAACCUGAAUUUGUUCCUAGAACUCAAAGUAAUUAAUGCUCUCGUCAUUUUGGUGAUGAUUGUUUAUAUCAAACUCCAAAGGUUAUAGUGAGACUACAUCCCAUUGCUGUACCAACAAUUGUACAAUAGUAGAUCGUUUAAAAUAUUUCCCUCGAUUUUUGUAGUCCAGGCCCUCGAAACGUGUGGAAAGUGCUCUAAUGGAUCAUGAUUAUUUAGGUAUAGGUAUUCAAUUACUGGAUCUUCAGGUAUGGCUGGACCUCCAUAAAUUUAUUUAAUCAUUUAUUGAAAUUAAAUCAAAUAUACAUACAUAAGGGAAUUUUAUUUUGUCUAUGUUGGAAAAGAUAAUAAUAUAUUGGUUUUUAAUACACGAAUUGUUAAUUUUGUAGAAUUUGACAAAUAAACAUUAUUAUUAUAUCAGUUAUAGAGCAAACCCCCACUUUUUGAUGACAUACCCCCCAUAAAAUCGGAAGACACACUCCGAGUUACAGAAUUUACUCAUUAUAGUAGCCAAAUUGUUCAUCAAUUCAUUAUACCCAGUACAUACUUAUUAAGGAUGAUUGUAAUUGCUCAAUAUCUAAUUCAUUAAUAAAAAUUAUUUUUAUUAUUAUCAUUCAUCUAUCCCAUCUUAAAUUCGUUCACUUCAAUUCCAAGCUGUCCUUUACAAAACUAAAAAUAAAAUAAAACUUCAAAAUUUAAUAAAGAAUCGUAUAUGUGAAGUUUGAAUAAACCCAUAUCAACCAGAUUUAUUCAUUAUUCCAUUAUAGUACAUAUAAUUACUGGUAAUUUUUGUAAUUAUUCAAUUCGUUCAUAAAAUUUAUAUUAAGUUCAAUGUACCUCUAUAGCUGCUAGCUUUCAGCUACAUUUUCUAAUAGAAAUAUUAGUCUUCACCGAAAUGUAUUAUUUUUGAAUGAAGAAAAUUUUUAUCCUACUACGCCACUGCUAAGCGAAAACGUGAGUCGGCCAUAUUCAGCUACCCUUCUGAUCAUCAGUUUUGGGACGUUAUGCUCCCUCCUGUUUAUUCUAUACUCUAAGGAUAAGAGUAUUUACAGUUACUCCCGGGGACAUCCUGUAGAUAUAGGUUGAGUGAUUUUGAAUUAUAUUAAAUUUUGAACUGUGAGUUUGUUUAUUCAUGUGUUUUUUCUGUGUAUAUUAUUAUACCUACAUUUAAAUGUUUUUAUACUUAUUUUUUAUACACUGCGCAAAAAAAUUAACGCACAUUCUGAAAAUAUCAAUUU